rnacentral:rRNA from 1 species
GACUAUGGCCAUGCCACCCUGAACAAGCCCAGUCUCGUCUGAUCUUGGAAGCUAAGCAGGAUCGGGCCUGGUUAGUACUCGGAUAGGAAACCACCUAGGAAGAUCAGGUGCUGUCAGCA